GCGGAUGUAAAUUAAUACACUUUGACAUCAGACGAGUUUGCAAGGACUGCUGCGCACCCGGAUGUAGACAACAACAACAACAUCAAGAUCCAUCAGCAGCAGCCUUCAAAGGUGCAACGGACCAGAUGGCGCUGUGACAUUUUCAGUUCUGUGCAAGGAACCACCAUCAUGCCAUGGAAGAUGCCGAUGUCAACAGCAGACGAACAAUUAUUCUGCAGGCCCUUCUAAUCUUCCUGCAGGAUGACCUGGAAUGCAGAAGAAAUUGACCUGCCUGACCUCUCGGAUGCAGCUGUAUCUAUUCUCACUGUCUCAAGUGAUACGGACUCCCUUGUGAAGUUUGGUCAUGCUAUCCAUUCUAUAGUUCUUGAGGGAGCUAUUGUUGAGUGUGAUAUAACAGAGUUGACAGAUGCGUUAAUUUUACUG